CGUCUCAAGUAAUUCCAUUGCCUUCCUUUGGCUUGAUUUUAGUCUGGAAGGGAAGGGACCCCUUCCCCUUAAUAUGUCAACAGAAGUGUGUGUUUUUCUAUGAAACUCUUGGAGUAGAGGAGAGAAUAUGAUAAUUCAGUAGGAGGUAUCAAAACACCAGGAAAAGGAAAUUGUCUCUUUCACAUGAAUCAAUGCCCGGCCCGGCUGUGAAACAGUGGGCUUGUGAUUCAAUCAUUGGACUCACAGAUGCAACACAACCAUGGCGAGCAAACCAAAGCCACCAACGGACUCAGCAGUAGCCACGACCUUUAUCCCGUAAACAUUAAACCUCCAAUAAUGAUACUUUUUUUAGAUCCCAUGAUAUUUGGGUGUUGGCAUUGAUGGGAUAUGGCAAUCGACUACACGAUUGUACAGAAUUUUCUAUCUUUGCCUUGUUAAGAAAAUACAAUGAAAUGGAUUUCAGAGAACUGCCCCGGCUAAUAACAGAACGUAUUUCUUAACGAGUAUUUCAGAAUUACUGUGCAGUUUCUGUUUAAUUAAUGCUUAGGGUGUGUUUUCGGGAAUGCAUUUGGCUUAAAAAUUAUCUUUCCACGUCUAACAUUUAGUAAGAGUGCGUGUAAAUUUUGUCUCGAAUCUCUCCAAUUACGUGGACUGAUUAACUCUUCGCAACUCUUCAAAUCAGUAACAUGAAAAACUAAGUAGGGUUUGCCCACAUUCACUUAAGAGUUUAACCAAUCAGGUAUUGUCAAAUUUAUGGUUUCAAGUCAACAGAAGAAGGGCUAAUUCCCUCCGAAUCUUUAACGUGUGAAAACGUUUGAGAAAUGUCUUGAAAGGACAUUUGGUUGUUUCUCAGGCUGCGUAUGAAAAUAAAUUGACAUCUGAUCUACUGAGAAAGUGA